rnacentral:rRNA from 1 species
UCGAUUCCCUUAGUAGCGGCGAGCGAAACGGGAAGAGCCCAAACCAACAAGCUUGCUUGUUGGGGUUGUAGGACACUCUAUACGGAGUUACAAAGGACGACAUUAGACGAAUCAUCUGGAAAGAUGAAUCAAAGAAGGUAAUAAUCCUGUAGUCGAAAAUGUUGUCUCUCUUGAGUGGAUCCUGAGUACGACGGAGCACGUGAAAUUCCGUCGGAAUCUGGGAGGACCAUCUCCUAAGGCUAAAUACUCUCUAGUGACCGAUAGUGAACCAGUACCGUGAGGGAAAGGUGAAAAGCACCCCGGAAGGGGAGUGAAAUAGAACCUGAAACCGUGUGCUUACAAGUAGUCAGAGCCCGUUAAUGGGUGAUGGCGUGCCUUUUGUAGAAUGAACCGGCGAGUUACGAUUUGAUGCAAGGUUAAGCAGUAAAUGUGGAGCCGUAGCGAAAGCGAGUCUGAAUAGGGCGUUUAGUAUUUGGUCGUAGACCCGAAACCAGGUGAUCUACCCUUGGUCAGGUUGAAGUUCAGGUAACACUGAAUGGAGGACCGAACCGACUUACGUUGAAAAGUGAGCGGAUGAACUGAGGGUAGCGGAGAAAUUCCAAUCGAACCUGGAGAUAGCUGGUUCUCUCCGAAAUAGCUUUAGGGCUAGCCUCAAGUGAUGAUUAUUGGAGGUAGAGCACUGUUUGGACGAGGGGCCCCUCUCGGGUUACCGAAUUCAGACAAACUCCGAAUGCCAAUUAAUUUAACUUGGGAGUCAGAACAUGGGUGAUAAGGUCCGUGUUCGAAAGGGAAACAGCCCAGACCACCAGCUAAGGUCCCAAAAUAUAUGUUAAGUGGAAAAGGAUGUGGCGUUGCCCAGACAACUAGGAUGUUGGCUUAGAAGCAGCCAUCAUUUAAAGAGUGCGUAAUAGCUCACUAGUCGAG